GGGUCAGUAGGUUGGUCGUGCCACCGGUACGUACUGGUCUCACUGAUUCCUCCUUCCUGAAGAACCGUAAUGCCAUUAAUUUGGUGUUGCGGGGAAACAGGACUGUUACUUUGAAAAAAUUAGAGUGUUUAAAGCAAGCCAACGCUUGAAUACACUAGCAUGGAAUAAUGAAAUAGGACGAUCGAUCCUAUUUUGUUGGUUUCUAGGAUUGGCGUA
rnacentral:rRNA from 1 species